rnacentral:rRNA from 1 species
UUAUGGGAGAGGGAAGUGGAAUUCCUGGUGUAGAGGUGAAAUUCGUAGAUAUCAGGAGGAACACCGGUGGCGAAGGCGACUUCCUGGACCAAUACUGACGCUGAGGCGCGAAGGCGUGGGGAGCGAACAGGAUUAGAUACCCUGGUAGUCCACGCAGUAAACGAUGAACACUAGGUGUAGCAGAUAUUGAUAUUUGCUGUGCCGCAGCUAACGCAUUAAGUGUUCCGCCUGGGGAGUACGGUCGCAAGAUUAAAACUCAAAGGAAUUGACGGGGGCCCGCACAAGCGGUGGAGCAUGUGGUUUAAUUCGACGCUACGCGAAGAACCUUACCUGGGCUUGACAUCCCGGGAAUUUAAUUGAAAAAUUGAAGUGCCCUUCGGGGAACCCGGUGACAGGUGCUGCAUGGCUGUCGUCAGCUCGUGUCGUGAGAUGUUGGGUUAAGUCCCGCAACGAGCGCAACCCUUAUCUUUAGUUACCAUCAUUUAGUUGGGGACUCUAGAGAUACCGCCUCGGUUAACGGGGAGGAAGGUGGGGAUGACGUCAAGUCCUCAUGGCCUUUAUGUCCAGGGCUACACACGUGCUACAAUGGGCUGUAUAAAGGGUCGCAAGCCUGCGAAGGUGAGCCAAUCCCAAAAAGCAGUUCUCAGUUCGGAUUGGAGUCUGCAACUCGACUCCAUGAAGUUGGAAUCGCUAGUAAUCGUGGAUCAGCAUGCCACGGUGAAUACGUUCCCGGGCCUUGUACACACCGCCCGUCACACCAUGAGAGUUAAUUGUACCAGAAGUUGUUGGACCAACCCUUUCGGGAGGUAGGCACCUAAGGUAUAAUUGAUAAUUAGGGUGAAGUCGUAACAAGGUA